UACGAAGGGUGCAAGCGUUACUCGGAAUUACUGGGCGUAAAGCGUGCGUAGGUGGUUGUUUAAGUCUGUCGUGAAAGCCCUGGGCUCAACCUGGGAAUUGCGAUGGAUACUGGGCGACUAGAAUGUGGUAGAGGGUGGCGGAAUUCCCGGUGUAGCAGUGAAAUGCGUAGAGAUCGGGAGGAACAUCCGUGGCGAAGGCGGCCACCUGGACCAACAUUGACACUGAGGCACGAAAGCGUGGGGAGCAAACAGGAUUAGAAACCCUUGUAGUCC
rnacentral:rRNA from 1 species